GUGAAAAAGAACCUGAAACCGUGUACGUACAAGCAGUGGGAGCACCCUUUGGGGUGUGACUGCGUACCUUUUGUAUAAUGGGUCAGCGACUUAUAUUCUGUAGCAAGGUUAACCGUAUAGGGGAGCCGGAGGGAAACCGAGUCUUAACCGGGCGUUAAGUUGCAGGGUAUAGACCCGAAACCCGGUGAUCUAGCCAUGGGCAGGUUGAAGGUUGGGUAACACUAACUGGAGGACCGAACCGACUAAUGUUGAAAAAUUAGCGGAUGACCUGUGGCUGGGGGUGAAAGGCCAAUCAAACCGGGAGAUAGCUGGUUCUCCCCGAAAGCUAUUUAGGUAGCGCCUCGUGAAUUCAUCUCCGGGGGUAGAGCACUGUUUCGGCUAGGGGGCCAUCCCGGCUUACCAACCCGAUGCAAACUGCGAAUACCGGAGAAUGUUAUCACGGGAGACACACGGCGGGUGCUAACGUCCGUCGUGAAGAGGGAAACAACCCAGACCGCCAGCUAAGGUCCCAAAGUCAUGGUUAAGUGGGAAACGAUGUGGGAAGGCCCAGACAGCCAGGAUGUUGGCUUAGAAGCAGCCAUCAUUUAAAGAAAGCGUAAUAGCUCACUGGUCGAGUCGGCCUGCGCGGAAGAUGUAACGGGGCUAAACCAUGCACCGAAGCUGCGGCAGCGACGCUGAUGCGUUGUUGGGUAGGGGAGCGUUCUGUAAGCCUGCGAAGGUGGCCUGUGAGGGUUGCUGGAGGUAUCAGAAGUGCGAAUGCUGACAUAAGUAACGAUAAAGCGGGUGAAAAGCCCGCUCGCCGGAAGACCAAGGGUUCCUGUCCAACGUUAAUCGGGGCAGGGUGAGUCGACCCCUAAGGCGAGGCCGAAAGGCGUAGUCGAUGGGAAACGGGUUAAUAUUCCCGUACUUGGUGUUACUGCGAAGGGGGGACGGAGAAGGCUAUGUUGGCCGGGCGACGGUUGUCCCGGUUUAAGCGUGUAGGUGUGUGUUCCAGGUAAAUCCGGUUCACUUUAACACUGAGGCGUGAUGACGAGGCACUACGGUGCUGAAGCAACAAAUGCCCUGCUUCCAGGAAAAGCCUCUAAGCAUCAGGUAACAUCAAAUCGUACCCCAAACCGACACAGGUGGUCAGGUAGAGAAUACCAAGGCGCUUGAGAGAACUCGGGUGAAGGAACUAGGCAAAAUGGUGCCGUAACUUCGGGAGAAGGCACGCUGACACGUAGGUGAAGUGAUUUACUCAUGGAGCUGAAGUCAGUCGAAGAUACCAGCUGGCUGCAACUGUUUAUUAAAAACACAGCACUGUGCAAACACGAAAGUGGACGUAUACGGUGUGACGCCUGCCCGGUGCCGGAAGGUUAAUUGAUGGGGUCAGCGCAAGCGAAGCUCCUGAUCGAAGCCCCGGUAAACGGCGGCCGUAACUAUAACGGUCCUAAGGUAGCGAAAUUCCUUGUCGGGUAAGUUCCGACCUGCACGAAUGGCGUAAUGAUGGCCAGGCUGUCUCCACCCGAGACUCAGUGAAAUUGAACUCGCUGUGAAGAUGCAGUGUACCCGCGGCAAGACGGAAAGACCCCGUGAACCUUUACUAUAGCUUGACACUGAACAUUGAGCCUUGAUGUGUAGGAUAGGUGGGAGGCUUUGAAGUGUGGACGCCAGUCUGCAUGGAGCCGACCUUGAAAUACCACCCUUUAAUGUUUGAUGUUCUAACGUGGACCCGUGAUCCGGGUUGCGGACAGUGUCUGGUGGGUAGUUUGACUGGGGCGGUCUCCUCCUAAAGAGUAACGGAGGAGCACGAAGGUUGGCUAAUCCUGGUCGGACAUCAGGAGGUUAGUGCAAUGGCAUAAGCCAGCUUGACUGCGAGCGUGACGGCGCGAGCAGGUGCGAAAGCAGGUCAUAGUGAUCCGGUGGUUCUGAAUGGAAGGGCCAUCGCUCAACGGAUAAAAGGUACUCCGGGGAUAACAGGCUGAUACCGCCCAAGAGUUCAUAUCGACGGCGGUGUUUGGCACCUCGAUGUCGGCUCAUCACAUCCUGGGGCUGAAGUAGGUCCCAAGGGUAUGGCUGUUCGCCAUUUAAAGUGGUACGCGAGCUGGGUUUAGAACGUCGUGAGACAGUUCGGUCCCUAUCUGCCGUGGGCGCUGGAGAACUGAGGGGGGCUGCUCCUAGUACGAGAGGACCGGAGUGGACGCAUCACUGGUGUUCGGGUUGUCAUGCCAAUGGCACUGCCCGGUAGCUAAAUGCGGAAGAGAUAAGUGCUGAAAGCAUCUAAGCACGAAACUUGCCCCGAGAUGAGUUCUCCCUGAGACUUUAGGUCUCCUGAAGGAACGUUGAAGACGACGACGUUGAUAGGCCGGGUGUGUAAGCGCAGCGAUGCGUUGAGCUAACCGGUACUAAUGAACCGUGAGGCUUAACCUUACA
rnacentral:rRNA from 1 species